GAUAAACGCUGGCGGCGCACAUAAGACAUGCAAGUCGAACGGACUUAACCAUUAGUUUACUAUUGGAGCGGUUAGUGGCGGACUGGUGAGUAACACGUAAGCAACCUGCCUAUCAGAGGGGAACAACAGUUAGAAAUGACUGCUAAUACCGCAUAUGCCUAAGUACCACAUGGUACAAUAGGGAAAGGAGAAAUCCGCUGAUAGAUGGGCUUGCGUCUGAUUAGCUAGUUGGUGGGGUAAAGGCCUACCAAGGCGACGAUCAGUAGCCGGACUGAGAGGUUGAACGGCCACAUUGGGACUGAGAUACGGCCCAG
rnacentral:rRNA from 1 species